CAAGAGCGUAUGUAAAAGUUGUUACAGUUAAAAAGCUCGUAGUUGAACCUUGGGUUUGGUUGGCCGGUCCGCUUUUUUGCGAGUACUGGAUUCAACCGAGCCUUUCCUUCUGGCUAACCAGUCGUUUCGGCGGCUGGCGAACCAGGAUUUUUACUUUGAGAAAAUUAGAGUGUUCAAAGCAGGCAUUAGCUUGAAUAUAUUAGCAUGGAAUAAUAGAAUAGGACGUUAUGGUUCUAUUUUGUUGGUUUCUAGGACCAUCGUAAUGAUUAAUAGGGACGGUCGGGGGCAUCAGUAUUCAGUUGUCAGAGGUGAAAUUCUUGGAUUUACUGAAGACUAACUACUGCGAAAGCAUUUGCCAAGGACGUUUUCAUUAA
rnacentral:rRNA from 1 species